UAACACUUAUAUUAUUAGUAAGAACGUUUUAUAGCGUCAGCACACAGCCGCUUAAAAGAGUUGUAGAGCAAAAGUUGAGGAGACCCAUUUACACGAGCACCCUCUGCAUUAUGGGGCCAACGACCACAUUUGUUAGCCAAAACCCAUUUUUGAAAUGUCGUCAAAACAAAAAAAUGUUGAUUUUUGUUUACAUUAACCGAAGACCAAUUUGCAAUUUAAAGUCAGAAAUUCCGUAGCGGGCGCUUAUAUUCAGAUAUUCAGAUAUUCAGAUUCUGAUUCAGAUUCAGAUAUUUGAAAUUCUAAUUUUACAUUGCAGUUUAAAAGUUCAUAAAUAAACAAUAGAAAACCGUUUUAAGAUUUUGUUAAAUGAAUUUGAAGAAUGGUGGUGCGUUCUAAGAGUUUGUGUGUUUAAACGGUUAAAAUCUAUCCUGUUGUCCAUAUAAUUAAGCGUUAAAGUUGUCUCACACACUUUUUUUUAGUUAGAAAACUAUCUUUUAACUAGAGCAACAAAGUGAGUCCAGCGCAGUCCACUUCCAAAACCUUUUGAGAUUUGUGGAGUAUUUAAUUCUUGUUGAAAUGUAUAUGGUUAGAAUCGACACUUUUUGCCUUUUUUUCUGAUAUUUUGUUUUUAAAGACAAAACCUCGAGUCUUGCAACUUUGAGUUUGUAGUAGGACAGCUAUGUUAACGUAACAUGAUUCUGUUAAGAAGAGAGGUCUCGGUAAAUUAAGUCAGUUCGUGAUUGAAAGAAAGAAAAGACAGACGUGCUGUCACAAAUCAGAUGUGGGAUAAGUCUGACGCCACGGAAAAUUUAGACUGUAAAUCGAUCCUGCUGAAGGCGUCGCCGGAGCAGUUGCGAUCGGCUGGUCAUGCCAUUUGGUGAGCUGAACUCCAAGUCGGAGAUGCGACGACAAUUCGAGAAGCGUACUUGGCAACUAGGCAAAAGAUUUGCCAUGUAUCUCGAGGAAAUUAAUGGAGCAAAUCAUCGAAGGCGUACCUUCCUCGAAUUUGAGAGACCAGGCUUGCAUACAAUGCUUUGGAAACACAAAGGAAAUGCGUCAAGCAUUCGAGAACAUAUGACAAUGAAGGCGUUUCGAAUUCCACAAACCCGCCAGGCAGAGAUGACCAUCGCUGUUGGAACAGCAACUCGAGGGGUCACUACGCAAAGGACUGUCGCAAGUCCUAGAGAGAACCUUGGAAGAGUUUUAAUAACAAUAACAAUUAUAAUGUCUCAUAGACUCUGGAAGUGCUAUUUCGUUCAUUAAGCAAUCUUUGGUCCCAGUUGGAGUUACGUUGUCCAAACAAAAUAUUAAAUAUUAUGGUUGAAAUAACAGUUGUCUUAACGCUUAUGGAAAAACGCGUUGUUUGUGUUUAAGAAUGAAAGUAAAGUGAAUUUUUCGAAAAUGAAAAUUUAAA